rnacentral:rRNA from 1 species
GACGAACGCUGUUGGCGUGCUUAACACAUGCAAGUCGAACGGAAAGGCCCUGCUUUUGUGGGGUGCUCGAGUGGCGAACGGGUGAGUAACACGUGAGUAACCUGCCCUUGACUUUGGGAUAACUUCAGGAAACUGGGGCUAAUACCGGAUAGGAGCUCCUGCUGCAUGGUGGGGGUUGGAAAGUUUCGGCGGUUGGGGAUGGACUCGCGGCUUAUCAGCUUGUUGGUGGGGUAGUGGCUUACCAAGGCUUUGACGGGUAGCCGGCCUGAGAGGGUGACCGGCCACAUUGGGACUGAGAUACGGCCCAGACUCCUACGGGAGGCAGCAGUGGGGAAUAUUGCACAAUGGGCGGAAGCCUGAUGCAGCAACGCCGCGUGCGGGAUGACGGCCUUCGGGUUGUAAACCGCUUUCGCCUGUGACGAAGCGUGAGUGACGGUAAUGGGUAAAGAAGCACCGGCUAACUACGUGCCAGCAGCCGCGGUGAUACGUAGGGUGCGAGCGUUGUCCGGAUUUAUUGGGCGUAAAGGGCUCGUAGGUGGUUGAUCGCGUCGGAAGUGUAAUCUUGGGGCUUAACCCUGAGCGUGCUUUCGAUACGGGUUGACUUGAGGAAGGUAGGGGAGAAUGGAAUUCCUGGUGGAGCGGUGGAAUGCGCAGAUAUCAGGAGGAACACCAGUGGCGAAGGCGGUUCUCUGGGCCUUUCCUGACGCUGAGGAGCGAAAGCGUGGGGAGCGAACAGGCUUAGAUACCCUGGUAGUCCACGCUGUAAACGGUGGGUACUAGGUGUGGGGUCCAUUCCACGGGUUCCGUGCCGUAGCUAACGCUUUAAGUACCCCGCCUGGGGAGUACGGCCGCAAGGCUAAAACUCAAAGGAAUUGACGGGGCCCCGCACAAGCGGCGGAGCAUGCGGAUUAAUUCGAUGCAACGCGUAGAACCUUACCUGGGUUUGACAUGGAUCGGGAGUGCUCAGAGAUGGGUGUGCCUCUUUUGGGGUCGGUUCACAGGUGGUGCAUGGCUGUCGUCAGCUCGUGUCGUGAGAUGUUGGGUUAAGUCCCGCAACGAGCGCAACCCUUGUUCACUGUUGCCAGCACGUUAUGGUGGGGACUCAGUGGAGACCGCCGGGGUCAACUCGGAGGAAGGUGGGGAUGACGUCAAGUCAUCAUGCCCCUUAUGUCCAGGGCUUCACGCAUGCUACAAUGGCUGGUACAGAGAGUGGCGAGCCUGUGAGGGUGAGCGAAUCUCGGAAAGCCGGUCUCAGUUCGGAUUGGGGUCUGCAACUCGACCUCAUGAAGUCGGAGUCGCUAGUAAUCGCAGAUCAGCAACGCUGCGGCGAAUACGUUCCCGGGGCU